AUACGGAGGAUGCAAGCGUUAUCCGGAUUUAUUGGGUUUAAAGGGUGCGUAGGCGGUUUGCUAAGCGGGAGGUGAAAUGCCGGCGCUCAACGUCGGAAGUGCCUCCCGAACUGGUGGACUUGAAUGACUCUGCCGUGGGAGGAAUGUGUAGUGUAGCGGUGAAAUGCUUAGAGAUUACACAGAACACCGAUUGCGAAGGCAUCUCACGAAGGGUUGAUUGACGCUGAGGCACGAAAGCGAGGGGAUCAAACAGGAUUAGAUACCCUGGUAGUCCACGCAGUAAACGAUGAUGGCUAACCGCUGGGCUUAUCAGUUCAGUGGCCGAGCGAAAGCGAUAAGCCAUCCACCUGGGGAGUACGACCGCAAGGUUGAAACUCAAAGGAAUUGACGGGG
rnacentral:rRNA from 1 species